rnacentral:rRNA from 1 species
GAAGAACGCUGGCGGCGUGCCUAAUACAUGCAAGUCGAGCGAACAGACGAUGAGCUUGCUCCUCUGACGUUAGCGGCGGACGGGUGAGUAACACGUGGAUAACCUACCUAUAAGACUGGGAUAACUUCGGGAAACCGGAGCUAAUACUGGAUAAUAUAUUGAACCGCAUGGAUCAAUAGUGAAAGACGGUUUUGCUGUCACUUUUAGAUGGUUCCGCGCCGCAUUAGCUAGUUGGUAAGGUAACGGCUUACCAAGGCAACGAUGCGUAGCCGACCUGAGAGGGUGAUCGGCCACACUGGAACUGAGACACGGUCCAGACUCCUACGGGAGGCAGCAGUAGGGAAUCUUCCACAAUGGGCGAAAGCCUGACGGAGCAACGCCGCGUGAGUGAUGAAGGUCUUCGGAUCGUAAAACUCUGUUAUUAGGGAAGAACAAAUGUGUAAGUAACUAUGCACGUCUUGACGGUACCUAAUCAGAAAGCCACGGCUAACUACGUG